GUACUUUCAGUCGUGAGGAAGGUAGUGUAGUUAAUAGCUGCAUUAUUUGACGUUAGCGACAGAAGAAGCACCGGCUAACUCCGUGCCAGCAGCCGCGGUAAUACGGAGGGUGCGAGCGUUAAUCGGAAUUACUGGGCGUAAAGCGCAUGCAGGUGGUUUGUUAAGUCAGAUGUGAAAGACCCGGGGCGUCAACCUCGGAAUAGCAUUUGAAACUGGCAGACUAGAGUACUGUAGAGGGGGGUAGGAAUUUCAGGUGUAGCGGUGAAAUGCGUAGAGAUCUGAAGGAAUACCGGUGGCGAAGGCGGCCCCCUCGGACAGAUACUGACACUCAGAUGCGAAAGCGUGGGGAGCAAACAGGAUUAGAUACCCUGGUAG
rnacentral:rRNA from 1 species